rnacentral:tRNA from 1 species
GAUGUAGCUCAGUGAUAGAGUGCUUGCCUAGCAUGUAUGAGGCCCUGGGUUCAAUCCCCAGUGCA